ACAAAAUUGAGAUUGUUGGAUACUAACCAAGAUGUAGAGCAGAGAGGCAAUGAUAAUGGUACGAUAUCGGCCGAGAAAGGAAUCGGCGACGAAAGCCCCCAGCAGCGGCAGCAGCAUCGCCGCCCCGUUCCAGGCGUUGACAGCUGCCGCGGCGGCGGCCGUGGAUUCUCCCAACGGGCCCGUCAGAUUUCCAAGAGCCGGAUUUCGAUCGGUGAGCGGGGCCUCCAUCGAAGGCGACGGCACCGGUCACGACGUCACCCAGCAGCGGCGUUGAGUCAUCUCCAGUGGCGGCUUCGGUAGUCAUCAUUCUCUCUCUUUUUCUUGAUAUUUGAAAACUAAGAUUGAUCAGUUUGCAAGGAAUACAGUUGAAAGAGUUUACAACUCUUUUCAAGAUUUGGCAAUAUCUUGUGAUGUUUCAAACGUUGAAAAAGUCGUGUGUAACAAUCGGAGUUAAUCAUAAUUUCAUUUAAUUUCUA